CGGCAGCCGCGGUAAUACAGAGGGUGCAAGCGUUAAUCGGAAUUACUGGGCGUAAAGCGCGCGUAGGUGGUUUGUUAAGUUGGAUGUGAAAGCCCCGGGCUCAACCUGGGAACUGCAUCCAAAACUGGCAAGCUAGAGUACGGUAGAGGGUGGUGGAAUUUCCUGUGUAGCGGUGAAAUGCGUAGAUAUAGGAAGGAACACCAGUGGCGAAGGCGACCACCUGGACUGAUACUGACACUGAGGUGCGAAAGCGUGGGGAGCAAACAGGAUUAGAUACCCCUGUAGUCCCUGUCUCUUAUAC
rnacentral:rRNA from 1 species